AGGACUAUUUUUCUAAAAUGUCCUUAAUAUUUAAACUAAAAAACUAAAAUUCAGGACCUAAUUAUAUGCAUCUUUAAUAGAAGCACAAUUAACUAAAAUUAGCUUACAAAUUCGUAGGACUAUUUUUUUGAAAUGUCCUUAAUAUUUAAACUAAAAAACUAAAAUCCAGAACCUAAUUAGAUGCAUCUUUAAUAGAAGCACAGUUAACUAAAAUUCCUAAACACAGCUAGCUUACAAAUUCUUAGGACUAUUUUUCUGAAAUGUCCUUACAUAAUCAAUAUAUUGAUUGAACCACAAACACAUUUCAAUACCAAAAGGUUCUCAAUAACUUUCUCACAAAAAUCUGCACCUUAUUCC
rnacentral:lncRNA from 1 species